ACAAAUCAUUUGUGCGGGAAGGCAACUUCCUUGCAUAUAAACCCGAACCCGCGCAGCAAUGCCGGGCUAGGUGUGCAUUGCAGCUCACGCUGCGGUGUACGGCCGAGAUUUGAGGGUACGCAAGUGCUGUCAGUCAAAGCCACAUAGACGCUUGUAUGUUUUGACAGAGUUAGUUGACAUCUUUAAAAUGA
rnacentral:misc_RNA from 1 species